rnacentral:rRNA from 1 species
UACGUAGGGUCCAAGCGUUAUCCGGAAUCACUGGGCGUAAAGCGUGCGUAGGUGGCGUGUUAAGUGUGAUGUUAAAUCGUGUGGCUCAACCAUAUCGAUGUGUCGCAUACUGGCAUGCUAGAGGACAGCAGAGGCAAGUGGAAUUUGUAGUGUAGCAGUGAAAUGCGUAGAUAUUACAAGGAACACCAAUGGCGAAGGCAGCUUGCUGGGACGGUACUGACGCUGAGGCGCGAAAGCGUGGGGAGCGAACAGG